rnacentral:rRNA from 1 species
UACAGAGGGUGCGAGCGUUAAUCGGAAUUACUGGGCGUAAAGCGCGCGUAGGUGGUUUGUUAAGUUGGAUGUGAAAGCCCCGGGCUCAACCUGGGAACUGCAUCCAAAACUGGCAAGCUAGAGUACGGUAGAGGGUGGUGGAAUUUCCUGUGUAGCGGUGAAAUGCGUAGAUAUAGGAAGGAACACCAGUGGCGAAGGCGACCACCUGGACUGAUACUGACACUGAGGUGCGAAAGCAUGGGUAGCGAACAGG